rnacentral:tRNA from 1 species
GGUGGGGUUCCCGAGCGGCCAAAGGGAGCAGACUGUAAAUCUGCCGUCAUCGACUUCGAAGGUUCGAAUCCUUUCCCCCACCACCA